UUAAAUAGAGAAAAUGAUGAAAUUGGAAAGAUGAAAUAAUUAAAGAUGAUAAAUUAAUUAAAUAACAAAAUAUUAUCAUAUUCAUCAUCUUUCCCAAAUUAAAUACAUGGAAACCCUCGUUAUGGGUGUUGAGCUCAAGCAAACUAUUUUGGCUUAAUUAGAUCUGGAUAGAUCAAAUACGAAGUUAGAACGAGGAAAAAAAAGUGUCGAAUUAGUAGAUUACAAAUCCACGAACACUUGUCGAGGUAAGUUCGUGUAAUUAAAUUAUAUAAUUAUAUGUUUGAAUUGAAUGUUAUGUAUGUGUAUUGUGUAAUUGACAUAUAUGAAAAUCAGUCACAUAUCCAACAAUGUUCGACAAAUAUUAAGUCUCGUUUGAAUAAAUGAAAUUCGAUGGAUACAGGGUUUCUGAAUUGGUUGUGGUCUUGCAUGUGUUACGAACAUACCAUAGCUCGAAAGAGCGUCCCGUUAUUAGCUCUCAUGAGCAUCUUGAUACUUGGCUCUCACGAGCUUCCCGUUAUAUGGUUCUUGCGAGCUUCCCGUUAAUAGCUCUUCGGAGCUUCCCUAUUGGUUAUGAUCCUGCAUGUGUUGUGAACACACUACAGCUCUUAUGAGCGUCUCGAUAUAUGGCUCCCUGGAGCUUCCCGAUUAAAGGCUCUUUCAUGAGCUUCCCGAUUAAUGGCUCUCUAGAGCUUCCCGAUUAAAGGCUCUUUCAUGAGCUUCCCGUUAAUGGCUCUCCGGAGCUUCCCGAUACAUGGCUCACAUGAGCUUCCUGUUAUAUGACUCGGAAGAGUUUCCCGUUUAUGUGCUUGUAUGAGCAUUCUCGAAUGUAAAUUGACGGAUUAUAGAUUUGUACACUUUGUGUGUACUACCCGUGUAUCCAUCGAUAUUUUAAAUGAUUUAAAGGGCAAAAUCCUAACAUGAGAAAAUAUAUGAAUUUGAAAUGAAUCAUUAUCCGUAUUUACUGAAAUAUAUGGAAAUGAUUUGUACAUGUUAUAUGGACACAUGAUGUGGAAAAUAAAUGUAUAUGGCAAUUUGUUGAUUAUUGACCUCAUAUAUGUUUCUUGAUAUUUGUAUGAAAUACAUGACUAAGAUGCUUGGUAAGGAUUUGUGUUUAAGCAUUUGGCCAAAUUGGUUUGAGCAUGUUUAGUUUGCUUACCUUAAAUGUGAAUUAAAUGGUAAGUUAAUUUCCCGUUAUACAAACUUACUAUGCAUUAAAUGCUUACUCUGUUUUAUUUUCUCUGUUUUUUAGUAAUUCGGAAGCUCGUUGAGUUGGAAGCUUGGCGGAGAUAUCUCAAACUAUCCAUCAACUCAUUUCAGUAUAUAUAUAGUAUACUAAAUUUUGGUUAUAAUGACAUGUAUAGGCUAAAGCUAAAUUUGGCCAAUGAUGGCAUAAAAAUAAGUGGUAUAUUUUUAUUUGUAUAAAUAUGGCCUUAAUAUGUUUGAUGUAUGAUUUGUUAUGGUUGAAUGAUGAAUACUAAUAGGCAUAUUGAGGCAUUGUUUGAUUUGGUAGAUUUAGUACAAAUAAGCCUAUAUGUGUGAUGGGGAAAAUAAGUAAGUAUAAUUACUUAAUUAUAUGUGGAAUUACAAACUAGAUUUUCGUCUGAUUUGAAUACUUUGGUAUGGCUUGAUGAUAUUAAUUGCUCCAAUAAUUGUUAUUAAUUGCCGCUGUAUCAUUUAAUAUUGAUGGUUAACUGUCA
rnacentral:lncRNA from 1 species